rfam:Brachypodium distachyon strain Bd21 chromosome 1, whole genome shotgun sequence.
AGCUGAUUCGGUAGCCAAGGAUGACUUGCCUAAAUGUGUCUAUGUAAUUCAUCUGAGUUGGCAUGGGACCGUUAAUUUUAGGCAUGUCUUCCUUGGCUAUUCGGAGUGCCUCU